UACGUAGGGGCGCAAGCGUUUGUCCGGAAUCAUUGGGCGUAAAGCGCGUGUAGGCGGCUUCGUAAGUCCGUUUGUGAAAGUCCAGGGCUCAACCCUGGAAUGCCGAUGGAUACUGCGGAGCUAGAGUCCGGAAGAGGCGAGUGGAAUUCCUGGUGUAGCGGUGAAAUGCGCAGAUAUCAGGAGGAACACCCAAUGGCGAAGGCAGCUCGCUGGGACGGUACUGACGCUGAGACGCGAAAGCGUGGGGAGCAAACAGG
rnacentral:rRNA from 1 species